AGCAGCCGCGGUAAUUCCAGCUCCAAUAGCGUAUAUUAAAGUUGUUGCAGUUAAAAAGCUCGUAGUUGAAUUUCGGGGUCAGUAGAUUGGUCGUGCCACUGGUAUGUACUGGUCUUACUGGCUCCUCCUUCCUGAUGAACCGUAAUGCCAUUAAUUUGGUGUUGCGGGGAGACUGGACUGUUACUUUGAAAAAUUAGAGUGUUUAAAGCAGGCUAACGCUUGAAUACAUUAGCAUGGAAUAAUGAAAUAGGACGUUCGAUCUUAUUUGUUGGUUUCUAAGAUUGACGUAAUGAUUAAUAGGGAUAGUUGGGGGCAUUAGUAUUCAAUUGUCAGAGGUGAAAUUCUUGGAUUUAUUGAGGACUAACUACUGCGAAAGCAUUUGCCAAGGAUGUUUUCAUUAAUCAAGAACGAAGUUAGGGGAUCGAAGACGAUCAGAUACCGUCGUAGUCUUAACCAUAAACUAUGCCGACUAGGGAUCGGAUGAUGUUAAUUUUUAAUGUACUCAUUCGCGCCUUAAC
rnacentral:sRNA from 1 species